rnacentral:rRNA from 1 species
UACAGAGGGGGCAAGGCGUUGUUCGGAAUUACUGGGCGUAAAGGGCGCGUAGGCGGCCUGUUAAGUCGAACGUGAAAUCCCCGGGCUCAACCCGGGAACUGCGUCCGAUACUGACAGGCUUGAAUCCGGGAGAGGGAUGCGGAAUUCCAGGUGUAGCGGUGAAAUGCGUAGAUAUCUGGAGGAACACCGGUGGCGGAAGGCGGCAUCCUGGACCGGCAUUGACGCUGAGGCGCGGAAA